rnacentral:lncRNA from 1 species
GGAUCACAGCCACUUUCUAUCAUCUCAGAGAGUAAUUUAAUAGCUUCAUCAAUUUUCCCUGCAUUACUAUAGCAUUUCAUCAUCAUGUUGUAGGUGAUAGAAUUCGGAACAUACCCACUCUCUCUAAUUCCGUCAAAUAUACUUUUCGCCUCCCCAAGCCUUCCCAUUUCUGCUAUACUAUACAAAGAUGCAUUGCAAGCAACAAUGUUAGGCACAAUUCCAUGAACUUUCAUCUUCUCAAAUGUUUCAAAUGCUUUAUCAGGCUCGCCUGACUUCCCAUAAUGAUCGAUAAAUAGAACAUACCCACUCUCUCUAAUUCCAUCAAAUAUACUUUUUGCCUCCCCAAGCCUUCCCAUUUCUGCUAUACUAUACAAAGAUGCAUUGCAAGCUACAAUGUUAGGAAUAAUUCCAUGAACUUUCAUCUUCUCGAAUGUU